rnacentral:rRNA from 1 species
CGGGAGGCAGCAGUGGGGAAUAUUGCACAAUGGGCGCAAGCCUGAUGCAGCGACGCCGCGUGCGGGAUGACGGCCUUCGGGUUGUAAACCGCUUUUGACUGGGAGCAAGCCCUUCGGGGUGAGUGUACCUUUCGAAUAAGCACCGGCUAACUACGUGCCAGCAGCCGCGGUAAUACGUAGGGUGCAAGCGUUAUCCGGAAUUAUUGGGCGUAAAGGGCUCGUAGGCGGUUCGUCGCGUCCGGUGUGAAAGUCCAUCGCUUAACGGUGGAUCCGCGCCGGGUACGGGCGGGCUUGAGUGCGGUAGGGGAGACUGGAAUUCCCGGUGUAACGGUGGAAUGUGUAGAUAUCGGGAAGAACACCAAUGGCGAAGGCAGGUCUCUGGGCCGUCACUGACGCUGAGGAGCGAAAGCGUGGGGAGCGAACAGGAUUAGAUACCCUGGUAGUCCACGCCGUAAACGGUGGAUGCUGGAUGUGGGGACCAUUCCACGGUCUCCGUGUCGGAGCCAACGCGUUAAGCAUCCCGCCUGGGGAGUACGGCCGCAAGGCUAAAACUCAAAGAAAUUGACGGGGGCCCGCACAAGCGGCGGAGCAUGCGGAUUAAUUCGAUGCAACGCGAAGAACCUUACCUGGGCUUGACAUGUUCCCGACAGCCCCAGAGAUGGGGCCUCCCUUCGGGGCGGGUUCACAGGUGGUGCAUGGUCGUCGUCAGCUCGUGUCGUGAGAUGUUGGGUUAAGUCCCGCAACGAGCGCAACCCUCGCCCUGUGUUGCCAGCACGUCGUGGUGGGAACUCACGGGGGACCGCCGGGGUCAACUCGGAGGAAGGUGGGGAUGACGUCAGAUCAUCAUGCCCCUUACGUCCAGGGCUUCACGCAUGCUACAAUGGCCGGUACAACGGGAUGCGACACCGCGAGGUGGAGCGGAUCCCUUAAAACCGGUCUCAGUUCGGAUUGGAGUCUGCAACCCGACUCCAUGAAGGCGGAGUCGCUAGUAAUCGCGGAUCAGCAACGCCGCGGUGAAUGCGUUCCCGGGCCUUGUACACACCGCCCGUCAAGUCAUGAAAGUGGGUAGCACCCGAAGCCGGUGGCCCAACCUUUUGGGGGGAGCCGUCUAAGGUGAGACUCGUGAUUGGGACUAAGUCGUAACAAGGUAGCCGUACCGGAAGGUGCGGCUG